rnacentral:rRNA from 1 species
CCCAGACUCCUACGGGAGGCAGCAGUGAGGAAUAUUGGUCAAUGGGCGGGAGCCUGAACCAGCCAAGUCGCGUGAGGGAAGACGGUCCUAUGGAUUGUAAACCUCUUUAGGCGGGGAGCAAUGCCGGGCACGCGUGUCCGGAGGGAGAGUACCCGCAGAAUAAGCAUCGGCUAACUCCGUGCCAGCAGCCGCGGUAAUACGGAGGAUGCGAGCGUUAUCCGGAUUUAUUGGGUUUAAAGGGUGCGCAGGCGGCGCGGCAAGCCGGCGGUCAAAUCGCGGGGCUCAACCCCGCCCAGCCGUCGGAACUGCCGGGCUAGAGUGGGCGAGAAGUGCGCGGAAUGCGUGGUGUAGCGGUGAAAUGCAUAGAUAUCACGCAGAACCCCGAUUGCGAAGGCAGCCUUCCGGCGCCCUACUGACGCUGAGGCACGAAAGUGCGGGGAUCGAACAGGAUUAGAUACCCUAGUAAA